rnacentral:rRNA from 1 species
UACGUAGGGUGCGAGCGUUAAUCGGAAUUACUGGGCGUAAAGCGCGUGUAGGCGGCUUUGCAAGUCGGGUGUGAAAGCCCUCAGCUCAACUGAGGAAGUGCGCCCGAAACUGCAGAGCUUGAGUACCAGAGAGGAUGGCGGAAUUCCCCAAGUAGAGGUGAAAUUCGUAGAUAUGGGGAGGAACACCGGUGGCGAAGGCGGCCAUCUGGACGGAUACUGACGCUGAGACGCGAAAGCGUGGGUAGCAAACAGG